GACGAACGCUGGCGGCGUGCCUAAUACAUGCAAGUCGAGCGAAGUUUUUCUGGUGCUUGCACUAGAAAAACUUAGAGGCGAACGGGUGAGUAACACGUAAAGAACCUGCCUCAUAGACUGGGACAACUAUUGGAAACGAUAGCUAAUACCGGAUAACAGUAUUUCUCGCAUGAGAGAUAUUUAAAAGUUGGUUAUGCUAACACUAUGAGAUGGCUUUGCGGUGCAUUAGCUAGUUGGUGGGGUAAAGGCCCACCAAGGCGACGAUGCAUAGCCGACCUGAGAGGGUGAUCGGCCACACUGGGACUGAGACACGGCCCAGACUCCUACGGGAGGCAGCAGUAGGGAAUCUUCCGCAAUGGGCGAAAGCCUGACGGAGCAACGCCGCGUGAGUGAAGAAGGAUUUCGGUUCGUAAAGCUCUGUUGUUAGGGAAGAAUGGAUAUGUAGUAACUAUACAUGUAAGAGACGGUACCUAACCAGAAAGCCACGGCUAACUACGUG
rnacentral:rRNA from 1 species